CUCACCCAAAUAUAUAUAUAUAUAUAUAUAUAGUUUUUUACUACUCUUACCACUACUUUUCUUAACUAAAAUUUUAAAAAAAUUACCGACCGUCCCUAGAGCAAGUGGCAAAGGGUUUGAUAGUUUGUACUCGAGACCCAAGUUUGAAUUCUAAUUGAUUCACAUUUUCAGCUAAGUUUAUUUCUAAAUGAAAUAAAUGAAACGGUUAACGUGCUACUAUCUCUCAAAAAAAAAAAAAAUUAAAA
rnacentral:lncRNA from 1 species